CCUACGGGGGGCAGCAGUGGGGAAUAUUGCACAAUGGGGGAAACCCUGAUGCAGCGACGCCGCGUGAGUGAAGAAGUAUUUCGGUAUGUAAAGCUCUAUCAGCAGGGAAGAAAAUGACGGUACCUGAUUAAGAAGCCCCGGCUAACUACGUGCCAGCAGCCGCGGUAAUACGUAGGGGCAAGCGUUAUCCGGAUUUACUGGGUGUAAAGGGAGCGUAGGCGGGAGCCGAAGUAUGAAGUGAAAGGCCGGGGCUUAACCCCGGAACUGCUUUGGAAACUGUGCGGCUAGAGGGAAGGGGAGGUAAGUGGAAUUCCUAGUGUAGCGGGGAAAUGCGGAGAUAUGAGGAGGAACACCAGUGGCGAAGGCGGCUUACUGGACUGUAACUGACGUUGAGGCUCGAAAGCGUGGGGAGCAAACAGGAUUAGAUACCCGGGUAGUC
rnacentral:rRNA from 1 species